rnacentral:lncRNA from 1 species
GUCCCAAACAUGUCCCAUUCGAAUUCUCAUCAUUACUGACAUUUUUAAUGUGUCGGCCUCGUUCCCUGUGUAACCGUCAGUAUAAAAGGUAAACUUUACCAAUUUUGACGGUUUUACCUGCUAAUUUGAAAUUUGAACCUUUAAGCUUUCUUCUCCUUCUCAGAAAUUCUCCUUCUAGCUUUCGGGACCUCAACAAUGGUGAAUCCAAGCCAGAUUCCUUCAAGUUCCUCCCAUUCAAACCCUAACCAAGAGGGUUCGAGUGCAAACCCACCAUCUCCUGUCGAUUUUUUCAAGGAUGGGGAACAAUUUCCUCAUGCCAACAUCCCGUCCACCAUUACGGAAUCCGAGAUUCGUGCCCUCCGGAUUCGAUACCAGAUUCUAGACAAUUACGCCAUAAGGGCUCCUGCUCCGGAGGAGCGAAUGUACCAGCGACCAGAUGGUUGGGUCGCCAUGCCUGCUACUCUUCUGGAAAAGGGGAUUCGCCU